CCAUCUCUUUUACCAGUGAACAAUCCCAAUUCUCUGUGCCUUUCCCCAUAGCAGAGGAGCUCCAUCCCUGUGAUCACCUUGGUG